GAUGAACGCUGGCGGCGUGCCUAAUACAUGCAAGUCGAGCGAACGGACGAGAAGCUUGCUUCUCUGAUGUUAGCGGCGGACGGGUGAGUAACACGUGGAUAACCUACCUAUAAGACUGGGAUAACUUCGGGAAACCGGAGCUAAUACCGGAUAAUAUUUGGAACCGCAUGGUUCAAAAGUGAAAGACGGUCUUGCUGUCACGUAUAGAUGGAUCCGCGCUGCAUUAGCUAGUUGGUAAGGUAACGGCUUACCAAGGCAACGAUGCAUAGCCGACCUGAGAGGGUGAUCGGCCACACUGGAACUGAGACACGGUCCAGACUCCUACGGGGGGCAGCAGUAGGGAAUCUUCCGCAAUGGGCGAAAGCCUGACGGAGCAACGCCGCGUGAGUGAUGAAGGUCUUCGGAUCGUAAAACUCUGUUAUUAGGGAAGAACAUAUGUGUAAGUAACUGUGCACAUCUUGACGGUACCUAAUCAGAAAGCCACGGCUAACUACGUG
rnacentral:rRNA from 1 species